AUGGUGCCCUCCAGCCUGCUGUGGGCCCUGGUGGCCUUCACCUGCUCUGGCUCCAGUGUGGCCCAGAAAGUUAUUCAAGACCAGCCAGCUACAGCCUCGCGAGAGGGGUCAGCAGUCACUCUGAAGUGCCGGUAUGAAACAAGCCUGAGUGCAUACUCCCUUUACUGGUACAAGCAGCCUCCUGAUGGAAACAUGACUUACAUUAUUCAUCAGCUUUCUUCUUCUAACAUUAAUGAAGUACAGGGUCGCUAUUCUAUAAACUUCCAGAAAGCAGAGAAAACCAUCUCCCUCACGAUUACACCCUUACAAUUGGACGAUUCAGCAAUGUAUUUCUGUGCUCUCCGGGAACCCACUGUGUUUGAGGGUUCAGUAAAAGCUGAACAAAAACCCCAGAGCUCAAAAAGGGUGACCUCUGCUCAGGAGCCAAGCUGA